rnacentral:rRNA from 1 species
AACGAACGCUGGCGGCAUGCCUAACACAUGCAAGUCGAACGAGACCUUCGGGUCUAGUGGCGAACGGGUGCGUAACGCGUGAGAACCUGCCCUUAGGUUCGGAAUAACUCCCCGAAAGGGGUGCUAAUACCGGAUAAUGUCUUCGGACCAAAGAUUUAUCGCCUUUGGAUGGGCCCGCGUUGGAUUAGCUAGUUGGUAGGGUAAAAGCCUACCAAGGCGACGAUCCAUAGCUGGUCUGAGAGGAUGAUCAGCCACACUGGGACUGAGACACGGCCCAGACUCCUACGGGAGGCAGCAGUGGGGAAUAUUGGACAAUGGGCGAAAGCCUGAUCCAGCAAUGCCGCGUGAGUGAUGAAGGCCUUAGGGUUGUAAAGCUCUUUUACCCGGGAUGAUAAUGACAGUACCGGGAGAAUAAGCUCCGGCUAACUCCGUG